rnacentral:lncRNA from 1 species
UCCCCAAAAUUCCCAGAUCCCCCCCCAAAAUCUCUGAGACCCCAAAAAACUUUGGGAUCCCCCCCCCCAAAAAAAAAUUUUGGGAUGUCCCAAAAAAAUUCCUGAUCCCCUUUUAUGGUGGAUUCCUUUGGGAAAUCCCACAGGUUCCCAAAAAAGGGGGGAACCCCUAAAUCCAUUCUGGGGACCCCAAAUUCACCCUGGGGACCCCAAAUCCAUCCCAGGGACCCCAAAUUCAUUCUGGAGACCCCAAAUCCAUCCCAGGGACCCCAAAUCCACCCCGGGGACCCCAAAUCCAUUCUGGGGACCCCAAACCCAUCCCUGAGACCCAAAAUCCAUUCUGGAGACCCCAAAUCCAUCCCAGGGACCCCAAAUCCAUCCCAGGGACCCCAAAUCCAUCCCAGGGACCCCCAAAUCUUCAGGGGGGGUCAGAGGAGCCUCUCCCUGCUGCUCUCCAGCUGCUGCUGCUGCUGCUGCUGCCAAUGGCGGAAGCGUUUGGUUUUGGGGUGCAGGAACUGAACCACGUCCAUGGGAACCCGCACGGUGUCCAGGCCGUUCACCUGGGGACCCCAAAAACACCUGAGUCACCCCAAAAACACCUGAGUCAUCCUAAAAAACACCCGAGUCACCCCAAAAACACCUGAGUCACCCCAAAAAAACACCUGAAUCAUCCUAAAAACACCCCAAAAACACCUGAGUCACCCCAAACCACCCAAGACAUCCCAAACCACCCCAAAAACACCCAAAAAAUCCCCCCAAAACACCUCAGUCACCCCAAAAAACUCCCCUGGUGCAACACGGCCAUGGGUACCCACAGUGUCCCAGCUCUGUUCACAUGGGGACCCCAAAAGCACCCCAAAAAAAACCUCAGGCAUCCUAAAAACACCCCAAAAACACCUGAGUCACCCCAAACCACCCAAGACAUCCCAAACCACCCCAAAAAACCCCAAAGUCACCCCAAAAAACCCCAAAAAUACCCCCAGGGUACCAUGUCCAUGGGCACCCGCACUAUGUCCAAACCAUUGACAUGGGGGACCCCAAAUGCACCCCAAAAAAACCUCAGUCAUCCUAAAAACAUCCCAAAAAUACCU